GAUGAAGAACGUAGCGAAAUGCGAUAAGUAGUGUGAAUUGCAGAAUUCAGUGAAUCAUCGAAUCUUUGAACGCACAUUGCGCCCCUUGGUAUUCCAUGGGGCAUGCCUGUUCGAGCGUCAUUUGUACCCUCAAGCUCUGCUUGGUGUUGGGUGUUUGUCCUAUCCUCUGUGACUGGACUCGCCUUAAAAUUAUUGGCAGCCGGCAUAUUGGCCUUGGAGCGCAGCACAUUUUGCGAGUCAAGCCUUUACACUGGCGUCCACUAAGCCUUUUUAUCACUUUUGACCUCGGAUCAGGUAGGGAUACCCGCUGAACUUAAGCAUAUCAAUAAGCGGAGGA
rnacentral:misc_RNA from 1 species